rnacentral:lncRNA from 1 species
AGAAUAUUGUGCCAGUGUCCUUGACUCGUGGGCUUUGGUUUGAGGAUCAGGAUGGGUUCUUGCUCUUGCACAUUGUUUCUUAGUUCUCGAUUUGUGUCUUGAUGCCUAAGACCAAAAGUUCUAUCAUUUGCACAAAGCAACAUAGCUGAUAUCGGUAGAGAUACCGGGAAAUCAUUGAUUUGUUAUAGUCUUGGUUCACAGAUUGCACAAGAAACAUGAUCUUAACUAGAACACAAUUUAUGCUGUGCAGGUACAUAUAUCUUGGGUUAUUCGACAGCGAAAUAGAAGCUGCAAGGUCCCGAGCAUGGAUUUCUUCAUCGUCGAUGAUGCUCUAAUUAUUAAUUUUAAUUUCAUCAGGGUUCGGUACCAACACCAAUUUCCUGUUUCUCUUUGUUGUUCUUCUACAUCAGGGCUUAUGACAAGGCAGCAAUAAAGUAUAAUGGAAGGGAUGCUGUUACCAAUUUUGAGCCAAGUACCUAUGAAGGAGAACUACUUUUUGAGGGUGAUACUGAAGGUGCAGUUCGCAUAUUUGAGUCUCUCUCUAACAUCAAAUUCAAGAUGUGUUGUUCUGAAUCAAUUGCAUGGUUCUUUGAGAAAAAUUCAUUAUCUGAGUUCAAAUAUUUGAUUGGUUGCAGGUCAUGAUGUGGAUCUGAGUUUGAGGAUUUCUCAAUCUGUCGUCCAAGGUCCAAAGGGAUAUCAAAAUUCAUCAAAUAGCCAGUUUGAAGCUUCUGAUUGCAACAUAGCAAAGGUAAUCAGUUUGCUAUAUUCUGAUAUUUUGUUAUUCCUUCUCACAAUUGGACUUAUUGCCAGUCUGUUCCUUCCUGAAUAAUCCCCUGAUAGACCUUGUUUUAUUGGAAGCAUUGGCAUGCCAUAUUUUCCUUUGGUGGUCGAUUUCUUUUUCCUGCAAUGUCAUGCAUACUCUAAUGUGUACUUGUUCCCAGUCCCACUUGAUGAUUCCAUGGAUUGUGUUGUUUAUGACAUGUCCGAGUCCAUUUCUACUUUAUUGUGCCUCACUGCUAACUAUUAGUUUUGGACUCGAAAGAAAUUACACAUUGACCAACUGUAAGAAUUCUUCUUUACUCUAGUACUAUACUGCUGCUCAGAUAUAUACACUACGUGCCUCAACCGUGCCCCCUGAGCACUCUCAUGCCUAGACAUUUCGAUCUAAUGCGUUUUGCCAUGAUCGUCUCUCGGAAAAUGCUACGUUAAGUUGCAAAUUAUUUUGACAGAACAAAUUUCCACUGUGAUUGGCCCACUCGUGGAAAUACCAAUUUUACAAACACCUGAUUUGGUUGGUCCUUUGGGAAUAAUUUAUGGCAAAUUUGAUUUAGAUGGUCUGCUGUCACUCCGUUGGAUACUUGUUCUUGCUGAUAUGGUCUCAUAAUACACUGUUUGAUUGGUUUAUCAUGCCCAGUUGAUCUCACAGUAGUUUCUGUCUGCGAAUGCAGGAGAACGAGAGUGAGAAGAGGACCGCGGUUGGCUUGCAAGCUCUCCCAAUCUGGAAUUGGCCGACAAAUGGACAUUGUCCAUUUCCACUGUUCUCUUCUGCAGCAUCAUCAGGAUUCUCACCUACCACAGUGACAGCUGCUCUUCCUCCCCUGAAGCCACCACCUCCAACAACCCAUCAUGUUCAUUUCUCUCCCCGAGCUACAUCAAAUUACCGUUUCAUGAAUCCAAAUCAGUAACACUCCAACGAGGUGCCAAAAUGUUACACACAUGAACCAUCUUUAGGGCAGGGCAGGUCCCGGGGGGGGGGGGGGGGGGGCGGUAGCCAGUCGCAAAGAAGUAAUACUUGGUGAACCAUCGUGUGGUCUACCCCUGUAUCAUUUUAUCGUGUUCUUCAGGUUCUUUCCUCUUCACCGCGGAGCUAGAACAGUCGAACUUUAUUCUGGGCUUUCGGUCAUCCCUUCGUCUACAUGUACUGUUCAUGAUCCGCACUAGUAAGUUCUUCUGAAACCGUGAAAUGUGGUUCAAAAUCAUUUUGACUGUCUUGUUUCUUUGGUGAGUAUACAUUUAAGUGCAACAACGGAUCCUUCAUGUGGAUAUAUAGUACAUCUCCGGAUCUGUUGCUAAUCUCCUUAGUGUUGAUAGCCCAAUCACCCGGUCUCUCAUUUGCUUCCGUGCGUGACUCUUGAGAAUGAUGCGAUAAGGAGAAGACGGGUAGUGGUUGACUUGCUGUCUCAAUGAAGGUAGGCUUGGCGACGCAUGAAUCACGUGUACGCUCCUCCACCAAGUCUUCUUAUUUGCCCAUCAAAUGCUACGACUUUUGACUUCAAAUUUUCGAGCCUGGAAUGAUUCAGGUCGCGAGUCCCAAGUUUUCUGAUAAUAUCUCCUAUCCAUAAAACAGAGUGCAAACGUCUAACGAGUCUAAAUUAAGAUCAUAUCUUAUUAUUGUCAGAGUGAAAGAAGGACCACCUCAGUCUGACCAGACCACGCUUAUAAAAAAAGAAUAUUUUUUUUGAAUAAUAUUAAACAAUAUUGUAGUUAUUAUCGUUAAUUAUUUCAGAUUGACCACUUCUCAGAUCAGCGUAUACAAAAACAAUUUCCAUAGACCGUCUCGUGGCAAGAGCCGAUCUUGUUGGUCUCUUACCACUCUUCAUCUAUAGUUAGGCAGUCUUGGGGGCGAAGGCCGAAACUGUGGGCGAUAGGCUUUUGCGUAUACAAUAUGUCGCCAGGUUUCCUUCUCUGUAACCUCAGCUGCAGCUGCAGCUGCAGAGGAUAGAUUGCAUGAUCUUCUUUCAAGGAAUCAGAAGGUUGCCGUCGCAUUCACACAUGAAUUCGCUUCUGUCACCUUCUUAGCCAUCGUCUUCUUCAUAACCCUCAUUUUCCUCCUCCUUUCCCAGUUGGAAGCAAGCAAAGAGUGAGUAUAUAUUCUCAGAAACCAGAAUGAUGGACAGCGGAGGAAGAGCAAAAGACACAGUAGCAUAGCAGCUGAGCUGACUCUAUUCCAGUGACAGAGACCUAAUUUACAGAGCUCCACUCAUCUAACGCAAACACUCAUCUUGGUUUGUUCCUAUAUUACAGAGCAGGAGGAAGCAGCUACGGGAAUCGAAGGAGUUCCAAUCAGAUGGAAGGAACAGAUGCCAAGCAACCAUACAAGUAUUAGCCAGAUGCACGAGGACGCGUCGAUGUCGCAGCUCCGCCUUCCCGUUCACCGCUCCCAGAUAUGCUCCCCUUCCAGGUGGAGUAGAUGGCGGAGGUCAUGGAAGACCAUGAAUCCUUCAGUUCCGUAGCGAUCUGCUUCUUGAUGCUGCCCCUUGGUGGUGGGCACAAGUUCCCUCUUCCCCUCCUCUCCUGCUUGCCGGCGUCUUGGUGGCUCUUCAUCUCUUCCGUAACAGAGAGAGAGAGAGAGAGAGAGAGAGAGAGUGCGCGUUGUCGCUGGAGCGAUAGGCAACCGGAUAUAUAGAGGUGUGUCAGAAGAGUAGCCGACAUACGUCAUUGAAACGUGUGUUAGUAUUAGGAAAAAUAUUGUUAAAAAAAUAAAUUAUGAUAAAAUUAUGAUUUUUAAAUUAUAAAAAUUAUGAUAUUAUCAUAAAUCUAUCAAUAAUAAAGAUAAUGAUCUCAACAUGAUUUGAUGAAAUAAUUUAGAUAAAUAUUUUAUAUUAUAAAAAUAUAUAAUUAUCAUAAUAUCUUUUUGUGGAUAUAAAUUCAUACCUAAUAUUCAUAAA